GACGAACGCUGGCGGCGUGCUUUACACAUGCAAGUCGAACGGAAAGGCCCUGCUUUUGUGGGGUGCUCGAGUGGCGAACGGGUGAGUAACACGUGAGUAACCUGCCCUUGACUUUGGGAUAACUUCAGGAAACUGGGGCUAAUACCGGAUAGGAGCUCCUGCUGCAUGGUGUGGGUUGGAAAGUUUCGGCGGUUGGGGAUGGACUCGCGGCUUAUCAGCUUGUUGGUGGGGUAGUGGCUUACCAAGGCUUUGACGGGUAGCCGGCCUGAGAGGGUGACCGGCCACAUUGGGACUGAGAUACGGCCCAGACUCCUACGGGAGGCAGCAGUGGGGAAUAUUGCACAAUGGGCGGAAGCCUGAUGCAGCAACGCCGCGUGCGGGAUGACGGCCUUCGGGUUGUAAACCGCUUUCGCCUGUGACGAAGCGUGAGUGACGGUAAUGGGUAAAGAAGCACCGGCUAACUACGUG
rnacentral:rRNA from 1 species